rnacentral:sRNA from 1 species
AUGAUAAAGAUGCAGUACCUUUCUCUUAAAAAAAAAAUGGUAUGGAAAGCUGUGAGAAUUGAAGAGACAAAUUGGCUGUGUCAGUGUGGGGUUAUGUCAUGAUUUCUAGAAGCCCUGAAGUUGCUCUUUUCAGCAGCUUUGCGUGACAAGCUCUAGUAAAAGGUGUGCAUCUUUAAAUUAUUUCAUGAAUACUUUAAAAAAUAUUGUAUCAUUUCAAAUACAGCAAUAAGUUUAUAUGUUCUCAAGAUUUCAUUUGUUUUUAAGAAUUUAAAGUUCAUGGAUUAAUAUCACUACUUUUGAAUACUGAAAGUUGUUGAUUAGACACCGAAAGGUUACUGAUUGUGGAGUGUAUCUGUGUUAGAGCUGUGCACUGGCACGCUUGCAUCAGGGGGUGCUGCCACACGGCCGCCACACAGAUUCCCCUAUGAUGCCUGGAGCUGCUUCCAGAGCCAGGUGCCUCCAAGAGGCACCUGUAGGACUUCCCAUUUAGAAAUCACUGAGUGGGUUUGUAUGUUACCUUCUCUAAGGUUUAUUUAGGACAGAGAUAUUGCGGGAGGGUCGUGGGUCAGAUUCCAACACGACCCACCUUGUCUGCGGGUGCAGCCCCACUCCAAGGCUCACCGUUAUUGGGGUAUGUGAGGAGCAGUAAAUAUAAAACCAGUUCACCUGUCCUCAUGGAAUUACCCUUUCUGUUUUUGCAGUGUUCAUAAAGCUAGUAUAAGGUUUGAUUUUAGUCUAUUAAAUCUUAGAGAUCUAAAGGAAAUGCUCAAAAUGUAGCCAGGUUUUAAAUGCUUUAACUUUUAAAAAAUGUAAAUUUUUGUAUAUUUAUAGCUUCUAAAUAUGAAAGUUAAUGUACUGUGAUGAAAUGUUCAGUAUUGUGUUGCUUCUCAGUAUUGUGUUGCUUCUCAGUAUUGUGUUGCUUCUGAUUCUAUGAAUGUUCAUUUUAAGACUCCUUUUUGAAAUGGGACAGUUGGCAGCGGCUCUGGUGAGCCCGAGAAGAGGCCUGCCCUUGGGUGCGGAGCCUCCCUCCGCACGAUGCUCCCACGCGUCCAACUUGCACCCAAGGGGCUUUUCCCUCUUCCAAGUGGACUCCUUCAAGGAAGCUGCAGCUCGGUCAGCAGAGAAGGGGCCUGCCGCCAGCGCCCUGGAGGAAGAGGAAGAGGAACCCAAGAGGAUGGCUUGUCUCCCAGCAGCCACACCGGCUUUGUGCUCAGCCAGUUCAUUUGAGUUUGCAUGUUUCUCUGCACUAUGGAUUUUGAGCAUUUAGAUUUCUUUAAUCAAAAGCGUUUUAGUGACUCCAGUAGACAUUUUCUUUCUGAGGCAUCGUGCUUUGCAUGAGAGCAGGUCAAGGUUGAGGGGAAAAGUAAAGUUAAAGUCGGUUCUCUUUCAUAGCAACACGUAUUGUCUGACAUUCAGCCAGCUUUUUUUUUUUUUCUAAUAAUUUCUGUGCCUUCCUGUCCUGUAUUUAGAAAAAGCAGCUAGAAUAUUUCUCCAUUAACUCUUGAGAUUCACAGGACUGUCUAGCUCUGAGUCCUAGCAAUAGACUCCUUAGAGGAGUAGUAAAUUUAUCUAGACUUUCUCUAGAUAAUGCAGGCGGAAGACCUGUGUUCCCGGGGUGGGGCAUUGCAGUUUUUCCUGUGUUUGGUUUCCAGGAAUUACAUGAACGACAGCCUUCGCACCGACGUCUUCGUGCGGUUCCAGCCAGAGAGCAUCGCCUGUGCCUGCAUUUAUCUUGCUGCCCGGACGCUGGAGAUCCCUUUGCCCAAUCGUCCCCAUUGGUUUCUUUUGUUUGGAGCAACUGAAGAAGAAAUUCAGGAAAUCUGCUUAAAGAUCUUGCAGCUUUAUGCUCGGAAAAAGGUUGAUCUCACACACCUGGAGGGUGAAGUGGAAAAGAGAAAGCACGCUAUCGAAGAGGCAAAGGCCCAAGCCCGGGGCCUGCUGCCUGGGGGCACACAGGUGCUGGAUGGUACCUCGGGGUUCUCUCCUGUCCCUAAGCUGGUGGAAUCCCCCAAAGAAGGUAAAGGGAGCAAGCCUUCCCCACUGUCUGUGAAGAACACCAAGAGGAGGCUGGAGGGCGCCAAGAAAGCCAAGGCGGACAGCCCCGUGAACGGCUUGCCAAAGGGGCGAGAGAGUCGAAGUCGGAGCCGGAGCCGUGAACAGAGCUACUCAAGGUCCCCAUCCCGAUCAGCGUCUCCUAAGAGGAGGAAAAGUGACAGCGGCUCCACAUCUGGUGGGUCCAAGUCGCAGAGCCGCUCCCGGAGCCGGAGUGACUCCCCACCGAGACAGGCCCCCCGCAGCGCUCCCUACAAAGGCUCUGAGAUUCGGGGCUCCCGGAAGUCCAAGGACUGCAAGUACCCCCAGAAGCCACACAAGUCUCGGAGCCGGAGUUCUACCCGUUCUCGAAGCAGGUCACGGGAGCGUGUGGAUAAUCCGGGAAAAUACAAGAAGAAAAGUCAUUACUACAGAGAUCAGCGACGGGAGCGCUCGAGGUCAUAUGAACGCACAGGCCGUCGCUAUGAGCGGGACCACCCUGGGCACAGCAGGCAUCGGAGGUGAGGCGGGGUUGCAGUGACUGGCGGCCGCAGGCCCUUCCCUGGGGGGUACCUGAUGGCUGCCCUUUGACCCCUGGGUGUGCUCUCUCAGCGCAAGUGGCCCUAGAGCAGGAUUCUUUUUGGAAAUGUCUGUCGACUGGACCUUGGUGGAUUUGGAAAUGGAACUGAGGGACCGGUGACACGUGCUUCAGACCGGUCUGGGGUGUGGCGCACACCUGGGCCCGUGCAGGGCCCAGCUCGGCAGCAGCUCUGAGGGCAGCUCAAUGAAAUAGUGAAUGCACACGCCCUUGUUGGUGUGGCCUGGCAUGGCCUGGCGUGGCCUGGUGCUAUCGGCAGCCGCUCUCCACUCCCUGACUGAUACUCAAUUACGUGAAGCCAAGAAAGACGAUUUUUAGAACCUUUGCCUAUAUUAGGUUGUACUUAUGUACAUAUUUUGCAGUGUUUCACAGGAGAAAAUGGCCUUAAUUGCCCCUUAUUCUCUCUCCACGUUGUAAAUAAACAUGUGUUUAAUAC